UAUCUGGUUGACCCUGCCAGGAUAGCAUACUUCUCUUAAAGAUUAAGCCAUGCAUGCCUAUGUGUAGACAGUUAUAUUCAUUAUUGUGGAGCGAAGACGGCGAACAGCUCAUUUAUCAGUGGUUAGUACAUGCAAUGUAUUUCGUUGGAUAGUAACGGAAAAUCUGUUAGUAAUACAUGAACUAUGUUUAGUAUUCUACUAAAGAUAAUAGUAAGUACGUUUGCAUAUCUGCCACUGCAGCAUCAUCUUACGUUGGUGGGGUAUUUGCCUACCAAGGAUUCGACGCUUACGGGGAAUUAGGGUUUGACUCCGGAGAAUGAGCAUGAGAAACAGCUCAUACAUCUAAGGAAGGCAGCAGGCGCGGAAAUUGCCCAAUGUAUUCGUUACGAGGCAGUGACAAGAAAUGAAGGGUACUUUUGUACACCAUCUAGGGCCUGUUAUAUCUAAGCUAACCGGUUAUUCGUGGGAAAGCUCGGUGCCAGCAGCCGCGGUAAUUCCGACACGGAGAGUAUUCUAUUGUGUUGCUGCAGUUAAAAAGUUCGUAGUUUAUUUUCUUUUUCACUAUAAGUAAAUCUAAGUGUUUAUAACUACUUAACUGUUUUUAUAGUAUGAAAUUAUAAUGCGGUAUUUGGCGUAGUUUGGGGUACUCGAUAGGGACAGGUGAAAUAGGAUGAUCUAUCGAAGACCAACGGUAGCGGAGGCUCCCAACGCAGUCUAAGUAUCACGAUCAAGAACUAAAGUCAGGGGAUAGACGACGAUUAGAAACCGUUUUAUUCCUGACCCUAAACGAUGUCGCCUAGCUGAUGGGGUUUUUACUUCAUUUGCCAAGAGAAAUCGUAAGGUUUCAGACUCUGGGGGAAGUAUGAUCGCAAGGUUGAAACUUGAAGGGAUUGACGGAGAGGUACCACCAGACGUGGAGUCUGCGGCUCAAUUUGACUCAACACGCAAAUCUUACUAGGCCCAGAAGCUUUGAGGAUUGACAGAUGAGUGAUCUUUCAUGAUUAAGUUGUUGGUGGUGCAUGGCCGUUCUUAGUCCGUGAUUUAAAUUGUCUGCUUUAUUGCGAUAACGAACGAGACCUCUAUCAGAUUAAUUAUCUGAGACUGCUAGUGAUGAACUAGAGGAAGGCAGAGGCAAAAACAGGUCUGUGAUGCCCUUAGAAGCCCUAGGCCGCACGCGUACUACAAUGGCAGGUUCAUCGUGUUGCUUCCCUGAAAAUGGUGGCAGUUCAUUAAAACUUGUCGUGGUUAGGCUUGAAGGUUGAAAUUAUCCUUCAUAAAUGAGGAAUGUCUAGUAAGUGUAGGUUAUGAAUCUACGCUGAUUACGUCCCUACCCCUUGUACACACCGCCCGUCGCUCCUACUGAUUGGGAAGAUCUGGUGAGUUAUUCGGACCUACAUUUCGUAUCGUUAUGUAGCAACAAUUGCGAGCCCGCUCUUCUAGAGGAAGGAGAAGUCGUAACAAGGCUGCUGUAGGGGAACCUGCAGCAGGAUCAUUA
rfam:Spironucleus salmonicida unplaced genomic scaffold deg7180000018946, whole genome shotgun sequence.